AACGAACGCUGGCGGCAUGCCUAACACAUGCAAGUCGAACGAGACCUUCGGGUCUAGUGGCGCACGGGUGCGUAACGCGUGGGAACCUGCCCUUAGGUUCGGAAUAACUCCCCGAAAGGGGUGCUAAUACCGGAUAAUGUCUUCGGACCAAAGAUUUAUCGCCUUUGGAUGGGCCCGCGUUGGAUUAGCUAGUUGGUAGGGUAAAAGCCUACCAAGGCGACGAUCCAUAGCUGGUCUGAGAGGAUGAUCAGCCACACUGGGACUGAGACACGGCUCAGACUCCUACGGGAGGCAGCAGUGGGGAAUAUUGGACAAUGGGCGAAAGCCUGAUCCAGCAAUGCCGCGUGAGUGAUGAAGGCCUUAGGGUUGUAAAGCUCUUUUACCCGGGAUGAUAAUGACAGUACCGGGAGAAUAAGCGCCGGCUAACUCCGUG
rnacentral:rRNA from 1 species